GUAGGUGGCAAGCGUUGUCCGGAAUUAUUGGGCGUAAAGCGCGCGCAGGCGGGUCCUUUAGGUCUGAUGUGAAAGCCCACGGGCUCAACCGUGGAGGGUCAUUGGAAACUGGGGGACUUGAGUACAGAAGAGGAAAGCGGAAUUCCAAGUGUAGCGGUGAAAUGCGUAGAGAUUUGGAGGAACACCAGUGGCGAAGGCGGCUUUCUGGUCUGUAACUGACGCUGAGGCGCGAAAGCGUGGGGAGCAAACAGGAUUAGAUACCCUGGUAGUCCACGCCGUAAACGAUGAGUGCUAAGUGUUAGGGGGUUUCCGCCCCUUAGUGCUGCAGCUAACGCAUUAAGCACUCCGCCUGGGGAGUACGGCCGCAAAGGCUG
rnacentral:rRNA from 1 species